rnacentral:rRNA from 1 species
GCCCGAAGCCGAUUAUCUAACCUUUUGGAAGAAAUCGUCGAAGGUGGAAUCAAUAACUGGGGUGAAGUCGUAACAAGGUAGCCGUAUCGGAAGGUGCGGCUGGAUCACCUCCUUU